AUUGAACGCUGGCGGCAGGCCUAACACAUGCAAGUCGAACGGUAACAGGAAACAGCUUGCUGUUUCGCUGACGAGUGGCGGACGGGUGAGUAAUGUCUGGGAAACUGCCUGAUGGAGGGGGAUAACUACUGGAAACGGUAGCUAAUACCGCAUAACGUCGCAAGACCAAAGAGGGGGAGCUUCGGGCCUCUUGCCAUCGGAUGUGCCCAGAUGGGAUUAGCUAGUAGGUGGGGUAACGGUUCACCUAGGCGACGAUCCCUAGCUGGUCUGAGAGGAUGAGGGGCCACACUGGAAGUGAGACACGGUCCAGACUCCUACGAGAGGCAGCAGUGGGGAAUAUUGCACAAUGGGCGCAAGCCUGAUGCAGCCAUGCCGCGUGUAUGAAGAAGGCCUUCGGGUUGUAAAGUACUUUCAGCGGGGAGGAAGGGAGUAAGGUUAAUACCUUUACUCAUUGACGUUACCCGCUGAAGAAGCACCGGCUAACUCCGUG
rnacentral:rRNA from 1 species